AUUGAACGCUGGCGGAAUGCUUUACACAUGCAAGUCGAACGGCAGCAUAGGUGCUUGCACCUGAUGGCGAGUGGCGAACGGGUGAGUAAUACAACGGAACGUGCCCAGUCGUGGGGGAUAACGUAGCGAAAGUUACGCUAAUACCGCAUACGAUCUACGGAUGAAAGCGGGGGACCGUAAGGCCUCGCGCGAUUGGAGCGGCCGAUGGCAGAUUAGGUAGUUGGUGGGGUAAAGGCCCACCAAGCCAACGAUCUGUAGCUGGUCUGAGAGGACGACCAGCCACACUGGGACUGAGACACGGCCCAGACUCCUACGGGAGGCAGCAGUGGGGAAUUUUGGACAAUGGGCGCAAGCCUGAUCCAGCCAUUCCGCGUGCAGGAUGAAGGCCUUCGGGUUGUAAACUGCUUUUGUACGGAACGAAAAGCUCUGGGUUAAUACCCCGGGGUCAUGACGGUACCGUAAGAAUAAGCACCGGCUAACUACGUGCCAGCAGCCGCAGUAA
rnacentral:rRNA from 1 species